rnacentral:lncRNA from 1 species
GGUAGGGGUUGGGGAGCCCGCCCAGAACGUUCUGGGACGCAUGCGCCACCAGGGAAGAGAGAGCCGCCGGGAGCGCGGGCGACUGCGGGCUGAACGUCCAGAGACAUGGAAGAAAUGUAGCAAGACAGGGAGAAAGACAAUAAACAGAAUGACUGAGAAUUUUCCACGAGACAGAUACAAGAACUUCCCUAAGCAAGGUGACAGAAAAGAAUUUUGUGCAGGAGCAAUGUUGCCAGGCGGUCCCGGUUACUAGCACCACGGACAGCGCCUCCCUGUUCCGCUUGGCUGGGUGGUCUUAAACCGCUCCAAACUAAGAAUCUAGAAGCUUCAAACUUGAUCUUCCAAUGCUUUUUUUUUUUCUCCUUUGAAAUAAAAAGGAAAUUACAUGGAAGCUCAGUGGAUUUUUUUUUGUUGUUAAAUUCUUUUAUUGGUACAUUUUAGGUAUACAACACAAUUACA